GAUGAACGCUGGCGGCGUGCCUAAUACAUGCAAGUCGAGCGAACAGACGAGGAGCUUGCUCCUCUGACGUUAGCGGCGGACGGGUGAGUAACACGUGUAUAACCUACCUAUAAGACUGGGAUAACUUCGGGAAACCGGAGCUAAUAGCGGAUAAGAUAUUGAACCGCAUGGUUCAAUAGUGAAAGACGGUGUUGCUGUCACUUAUAGAUGGAUCCGCGCCGCAUUAGGUGGUUGGUAAGGUAACGGGUUAGCAAGGCAACGAUGCGCAGGCGACGUGAGAGGCUGAUCGGCCACACUGGAACUGAGCCACGCUCAAGACUCCUACGGGAGGCAGCAGUAGGGAAUCUUCCGCAAUGGGCGAAAGCCUGACGGAGCAGCGCCGCGUGAGUGAUGAAGGUCUUCGGAUCGUAAAACUCUGUUAUUAGGGAAGAACAAAUGUGUAAGUAACUAUGCCCGUAUUGACGGUACCUAAUCAGAAAGCCCCGGCUAACUACGUG
rnacentral:rRNA from 1 species